AUUGAACGCUGGCGGCAGGCCUAACACAUGCAAGUCGAACGAGUGGCGGACGGGUGAGUAAUGUCUGGGAAACUGCCCGAUGGAGGGGGAUAACUACUGGAAAAGGUCGCUAAUACCGCAUACCAUCAGAUUUACCCAGCUGGGAUGAGCUGGUUGGGGGGGUAACGGCUCACCAAGGCGACGAUCCCUAGCUGGUCCGAGAGGAUGACCAGCCACACUGGAACUGAGACAGGGUCCAGACUCCUACGGGAGGCAGCAGUGGGGAAUAUUGCACAAUGGGCGAAAGCCUGAUGCAGCCAUGCCGCGUGUAUGUAGAAGGCCUUCGGGUUGUAAAGUACUUUCAGCGGGGAGGCGUUACCCGCAGAAGAAGCACCGGCUAACUCCGUGCCAGCAGCCGCGGUAAUUC
rnacentral:rRNA from 1 species